rnacentral:rRNA from 1 species
AGUCGAGCGAGUCUGCCUUGAAGAUCGGAGUGCUUGCACUCUGUGAAACAAGAUACAGGCUAGCGGCGGACGGGUGAGUAACACGUGGGUAACCUGCCCAAGAGAUCGGGAUAACACCUGGAAACAGAUGCUAAUACCGGAUAACAACAGAUGAUGCCUAUCAACUGUUUAAAAGAUGGUUCUGCUAUCACUCUUGGAUGGACCUGCGGUGCAUUAGCUAGUUGGUAGGGUAACGGCCUACCAAGGCGAUGAUGCAUAGCCGAGUUGAGAGACUGAUCGGCCACAUUGGGACUGAGACACGGCCCAAACUCCUACGGGAGGCAGCAGUAGGGAAUCUUCCACAAUGGACGCAAGUCUGAUGGAGCAACGCCGCGUGAGUGAAGAAGGGUUUCGGCUCGUAAAGCUCUGUUGUUGGUGAAGAAGGACAGGGGUAGUAACUGACCUUUGUUUGACGGUAAUCAAUUAGAAAGUCACGGCUAACUACGUGCCAGCAGCCGCGGUAAUACGUAGGUGGCAAGCGUUGUCCGGAUUUAUUGGGCGUAAAGCGAGUGCAGGCGGCUCGAUAAGUCUGAUGUGAAAGCCUUCGGCUCGACCGGAGAAUUGCAUCAGAAACUGUCGAGCUUGAGUACAGAAGAGGAGAGUGGAACUCCAUGUGUAGCGGUGAAAUGCGUAGAUAUAUGGAAGAACACCGGUGGCGAAGGCGGCUCUCUGGUCUGUUACUGACGCUGAGGCUCGAAAGCAUGGGUAGCGAACAGGAUUAGAUACCCUGGUAGUCCAUGCCGUANACGAUGAGUGCUAAGUGUUGGGAGGUUUCCGCCUCUCAGUGCUGCAGCUAACGCAUUAAGCACUCCG